rnacentral:rRNA from 1 species
UACGUAGGGGGCUAGCGUUGUCCGGAAUCAUUGGGCGUAAAGCGCGUGUAGGCGGCUCGAUAAGUCUGUUGUGAAAGCCCAGGGCUCAACCCUGGAACGCCGAUGGAUACUGUCGAGCUAGAGUCCGGAAGAGGCGAGUGGAAUUCCUGGUGUAGCGGUGAAAUGCGCAGAUAUCAGGAGGAACACCAAUGGCGAAGGCAGCUCGCUGGGACGGUACUGACGCUGAGGAGCGAAAGCGUGGGGAGCGAACAGG